rnacentral:rRNA from 1 species
GACGAACGCUGGCGGCGUGCCUAAUACAUGCAAGUCGAACGCUUUUUCUUUCACCGGAGCUUGCUCCACCGAAAGAAAAAGAGUGGCGAACGGGUGAGUAACACGUGGGUAACCUGCCCAUCAGAAGGGGAUAACACUUGGAAACAGGUGCUAAUACCGUAUAACACUAUUUUCCGCAUGGAAGAAAGUUGAAAGGCGCUUUUGCGUCACUGAUGGAUGGACCCGCGGUGCAUUAGCUAGUUGGUGAGGUAACGGCUCACCAAGGCAACGAUGCAUAGCCGACCUGAGAGGGUGAUCGGCCACACUGGGACUGAGACACGGCCCAGACUCCUACGGGAGGCAGCAGUAGGGAAUCUUCGGCAAUGGACGAAAGUCUGACCGAGCAACGCCGCGUGAGUGAAGAAGGUUUUCGGAUCGUAAAAACUC